AUCCAGCUGACGAGUCCCAAAUAGGACGUGACGCACGUCUUAGAU
rnacentral:hammerhead_ribozyme from 1 species